UCGUGCCAACAUUUGUACGCAAAACCUGUUUUUACGCCAAGAGUCCUUCACAACUUGGACUCUUCAUAAAUGGUGUUAAUUUGGGAUUUGAUGUCUAAAUUUAGGCUACUUCCAGGUGGUAUGAUCUAAUCCAAAUACCCACCAAAUUAGGCUAGCUAAUUAGCAAGAGAUGAGACCAAAUUGAUCUCCAAAGAAGCAAGGGNNN
rnacentral:lncRNA from 1 species